GAUGAACGCUGGCGGCGUGCUUAACACAUGCAAGUCGAACGAAGCACUUUUAUUUGAUUUCUUCGGAAUGAAGAUUUUAGUGACUGAGUGGCGGACGGGUGAGUAACGCGUGGGCAACCUGCCCUCUAGAUGGGGACAACAUCCCGAAAGGGGUGCUAAUACCGAAUGUGACAGCAAUCUCGCAUGAGGAUGCUGUGAAAGAUGGCCUCUAUUUAUAAGCUAUCGCUAGAGGAUGGGGCCUGCGUCUGAUUAGCUAGUUGGUGGGGUAACGGCCUACCAAGGCGAUGAUCAGUAGCCGGUCUGAGAGGAUGAACGGCCACAUUGGGACUGAGACACGGCCCAG
rnacentral:rRNA from 1 species